CAAGGAGUCCCUGGGUCAUGUUACUGAAUAAAAGAAGGCAGUAACAAAAAUUUCUUUCAUAUGAAGCUUUAGACAAAUGAAACUAAUUGAUGACAAAAAAUAUAUAUGGCUGCUAAUUAUAGUAGAGUAGCAAAUGGGAAGAAUUAUCAGACUUUACUCAAAGGAAAAAAAUUGUUGAAAAAAAUUGAAGUGGAUAACGUAAGGGAAGUACUGACAAAGGUGAGCGUAGAAGUCAAAAUAGCUCUUGCCUUCCUGGAGCAAUGUGCUACCACCUGGGGACUUAUCAGCAACAGGUAGGACAUGGCUUUCUGAUAGGAAAAAAUAUAGAUGGUCAAUUUUUUCAUGGCUCUAAAUAUAAAAAU
ensembl:lincRNA